GGUGGCUCAGAGGUAGAGCACUUGCCUUGCAUGCAUGAGGCACUGGGUUUGAUUCCUCAGCACCA
rnacentral:tRNA from 1 species